rnacentral:rRNA from 1 species
GAUGAACGCUGGCGGCGUGCUUAACACAUGCAAGUCGAACGGAAAGGCCAGUGCUUGCACUGGUACUCGAGUGGCGAACGGGUGAGUAACACGUGGGUGAUCUGCCCUGCACUUCGGGAUAAGCCUGGGAAACUGGGUCUAAUACCGGAUAGGACAAUGGUUUGGAUGCCGUUGUGGAAAGUUUUUUCGGUGUGGGAUGAGCUCGCGGCCUAUCAGCUUGUUGGUGGGGUAAUGGCCUACCAAGGCGUCGACGGGUAGCCGGCCUGAGAGGGUGUACGGCCACAUUGGGACUGAGAUACGGCCCAGACUCCUACGGGAGGCAGCAGUGGGGAAUAUUGCACAAUGGGCGCAAGCCUGAUGCAGCGACGCCGCGUGGGGGAUGACGGCCUUCGGGUUGUAAACUCCUUUCGCUAGGGACGAAGCGUAUUUGUGGCGGUACCUGGAGAAGAAGCACCGGCUAACUACGUG